rnacentral:rRNA from 1 species
CAGCCGUAAACUAUGCUCGCUAGGUGUCAGGCAUGGCGCGACCGUGUCUGGUGCCGCAGGGAAGCCGUGAAGCGAGCCACCUGGGAAGUACGGCCGCAAGGCUGAAACUUAAAGGAAUUGGCGGGGGGAGCACAACAACGGGUGGAGCCUGCGGUUUAAUUGGACUCAACGCCGGACAACUCACCGGGGGACGACAGCAAUAUGUAGGCCAGGCUGAAGACCUUGCCUGAAUCGCUGAGAGGAGGUGCAUGGCGUAGACGUCU